GAGGGAGCGUGUAACUAUAGAUAGUAGAUUCUGCAGGGGUCUGUGUGCAUAGGUAUGCAUGCAUGCUUAGUUUUCUGUAUGUAGCGUCUGUGCCCCCAUGGGUGUUUUUAAUGGUGGUCUGUCUUUGUGUCUCUGAAUCUGUAUAACUAUAUGAUCUAAGAACGUUCAGGGGAGACAGUGUUUGUAUGUAAAAGCAUUGUGGUUCUGAUGUGCACCUGUAGGGUAAGUGGUUCUGUGAGAGAGGAGAGGACAGCUUGAGGCUGUGUUAACAUCAAGGCCAGGGACUCUUGGGGCUCUCUUUCCCCCUGCCUAGGACCUUCUCCUCCAUACAUAGCUGUUCUAAUUCUGACCCUCAGAGCCUGGAGCUGGGGCCUCACUGGUUGCACCCCACUUCAGAUGCUGCGUUUCAACCUCCCCUACGUCUUUCUCUGAGCCUCCUUCCUCCAGCCAUGGAGACUGUGGCAACAGAGCUUCACCUAAGGCACUCUGAGUACACAUAGUAGGCUGACAGCCUUCAGAUGGCAUGCAGCGGGCACUCUGAGUACACAUAGUAGGCUGACAGCCUUUAGAUGGCAUGCAGCAGGGACCACCCCAGCUCCUCACUGAGAAAAGUCACUCUUAUCACUAGGGUCCUGGGUCCUCUAGUCCCUCAGAGCUGAUGUCAGUGUGUUCUAUCUUCACUUAGUGGUGCCCAAGACAGAGUUCUGCCUGUCCCCCCAGGGGACUAGGUCUUAGAUUCGGUGUCCCAGGCUUUGGGAAGACCUGGGGAUGCCACUAGCUCCUUCUCUUGGUCCCAUCUCUUAUCCUGUGCAGGCAGAUCACAGUUCCCUUCCAGCUUUCUCCCUCCCCCUGCCAGGCGAGGGCCCAGAGUGGCAUGUCUGGCUAUGUCUAGCCACCCUUCCCCCCAUGGUUAUUAAUGAUUGGGUAUUAGGCAAGCGGCACUAUCGAUUCUGGCGCGGGCAGCUCCAGGUCGGGGUAAUUUAUGGAAACACCGGUGUCCCUGGUGAUAAAUAAUGAGGUGAUCGUGAGGAUGGGUCACUAGUGAGUGACUUCCACCUUAUACCCUGUCCACUAACACACCAGCUCAUAAAUGGAGGAAAGGGGGAGAGGCCCAGUAAGCUGGAAAGACAAAGGAUGCUUUGGUGAUGUGCGCCUCCAGAGGACAAGGGGAAGCAGAGACAUGGCUCUGUGGGGUCCAGGCGGGCGGCGGGAGCUGGUGGGAAAGGGAAGAGAAAUACAAAGAAGGCAGAGUGGAAAGACUGGGGAAGAGAAACAGUGGGGGCAGGAGACACGGAGGAAAACAUGGGGUGGGAGAGGAAUGAGAGACAAACAGGGCAAAGGAGAGGGGGACGGAAGAGGCCCGAGGCUGCACAGGGUGAGGACAGCAAGGGCAGAAACAAAGAGGGAAGACGAGCAAUUAAGGCCAGCCACUCCUCGAGAGGACUGUACACAGGGUCGGUGCUGUGGUCUAACUGUGAAUGCCCCGAGACACCCGGACUGUGUACCCUCCAGGCAGGCUUUGGAUCCCACCUCUCUCCUGGGCCCAGCUGUGUAACCUUAAACAGGUCACUUCCUCUUGAUGAGGACAACUGAUCCACCCAGGUGAGAGACAGAACCACGCAGCUAGCUCAGUGCACUUGGGACCCAGUGCCAGGCCUUGGGGUGCAUGGGUCAGUGAUAGCGGGGUUCUUUCUGAUGGAGUCAUGUGAGCACGUCAUGUGACAAUAACUCUAAUGAGUGGACAGAAUGUCCAGUUAGCCACACAUAAAGCAGGGAGAAGCCAUGAGAGUAGCAGACUGAACCGCCUCAGAGGGGCACCUCCCAGAGGUGAGGUUUGAUUUGGGCCUGGACUUACACAGGGGAGAGAAUCACUCCUAGGGAUAGAAACAUUACGUGAUGAUGCUUUCAAGGUUGGAAGGAAGGCCACCGGGGCCUAGAUUGGAGUCUCUAGUGCACCAGCCUCCCCAAUCCCACACCUCCACACACCAAAUCCACCAGCUUUAACUUGGUUAUCUCCAGGGCUGAAGAACUCAUUACUACUCUUGAGAAAAUCUAAUUCUGAAAAUGACCUUUUUUAUUUUUUUCUUUCUUUUACAAUUUCCCUUCGUCCCCAGUUUAGCCUCUCCCUCCUCUCGCUGCCCACUCCCGCCCCCACGCUCUGAUUGACAGGUAGCUGCCCCACUUGGCUGCUGUUGACAAUGCUUCCGGUCUGGGUCUGGCGCAUCGCCCUGUCUUGGGCAGAGCCAGGGAUGGGGAUACUGUUCCUUCUUUCUGGAUCAAUAGCGCUCACUUUGGUCCGCCCCUGCUUGGGACUUCUUGGACAAGGGUCACUUGCUGCCUCUCUUCCUGUCUGCCGUCUUUUCUGGCUGGAAAAGAAUAUCAAGCACAGUCUGCAGGCUGACCUGAGAAGUACACCCGAUCUGCGUCCCCCUGGGUGGUAUCUUGACCCUGCUGCCUGCUGAUCAGGUGACUGUGCACGGGGCCCCAGUGUCUUCUAUGUGCAGGGUGCCUAGCACCAGAGAAAACUGCAGUAUUUGUCUGCUCUCAGGACCCCUCCCACACUUCCUUUCCUAUAUUCUUGAGUAGCCGAGGUUUCUCCUUCAUGUCCGGGACUCAUGUUCCAGAGCCUACCGUGAUCGUCACAUGGCUCUGCGCCCUGGUUCUGGGCCACCCUAGGUCAACACCCUCAUGUUCUUUCCUAGCCUGAACCUGUGGGACCUUCCCACAAUAAGGAGACGUCAAGUGGCCUAGGCCACCAUGUCGGUAGUUUCCCUUGCUUGUGUCCCUUUGUGGAAGUCUGUUCCUAGAGACUUCUCAUCACUUUUUGGCUUCACGCCUCAGCCUUCCUUCAUGCUGGAAGGCAGGGUGCAGGCCUAUCCGGUAUGGGCUCUUCUUAGCAACUGCUCUCCUGGGAUCACCAUGGCUCUCUGUUAGGGGCUUCUAGAACAUUCCUUCUAUUCUUCAUUGAGCUACUAAACUCAACCAGUACUGCUACUAUUUCUGAUCCCAGCAGCUAAUUAACAUUUUGUCUCCCCAUUUUACAGAUAUCUGUGGUACGAAGUCAUGGCUACACAUCAUGUACAUCUUAUAAAGGACGGUCCCAGGCAACUGUUAACAGGCACUGAUAUCUUACAGGGCUGGUGUUAUCCGCUGGGAAGUGGAUGGGCUAUGAAGCCUUUGGACCCUAAGCAGAGACAGUACCUCAAUCAGUUAAGGAUGGGUGGGGCCUACAUCCCAUAGGGAUGUGAGGAAGUGGGUAGAUCUAUGUAGCUGGAAGGCCUGGGAGAAAUGUAGUCCUGUCCGCUGUGGAGUGGGGACUCAGGCCAGUCAACUGGGAGAGAGGCCGUUUGUGAGGUCUCAGGGUAGAUCUAGCGUUCAGGAUGCUGGAGAACAGGCAUUCCUGGGUCGUCGGUGUUUGCUGCAUCCUAGUGUUGGGUCUGGAGGCACUUGGUACCAGGCAGAUGCAGGGAGGACACAAGCCUGGGCUGAGAAAGGACAAGGGGCCUGAGGGUAUGGAGGAGGUGAGCUGAGGCCGUAUACAGAGCCUGGAGACUUGUGGAGCUGGAAGAGGGACAGGCAUCAGGGUGAGCAACAGGGACCUGUGAGCGGGCUGCGGCGUGGGAUGAGGAAGCAUGGAGGUAGACAUCACUCCAGGGCUCACAGGAGUCUCCAGAUCCCUUCCUGUUUUCCAACAUGUCAGGGGCACUUCAGGGACUCACUUGCUCCUUGUCUUCCCAAGGCUACCUGGCUGAUGGCAGAGGCAGGCAAGCGUCACAGCAGGUGUAUGGGUCUCUCUGUUUUGGAUCCCACAGCCCAGCUUGGUGGUCCCCCGGCACAUAGUAGGCUCCUUCUCUCGGCUUGCUGAAUCUCCUUUCCUUGCAGUCAGUGCAGCCAGCACCCCCUACCCCCAAUUCCACCCCUACCCCAGCUCAGCCACCUACUGUGCCCCAGCACUGGGUGCUCUAAGCUGUCUGCCUCCCUCCCACAGAGGAGCUGUGGCGCUGCUGUCUGUCCUAUGCUGUGUCCUGGCUCCGUGGAGGCCCGCGGUCACUGGUCACCAUGGCUGAAUGCCGAAAGGACAAACAGGCUACCUGUGACCCUCCAGGUUGAACAGGGGGGAACUGACUGAGUGGCGCCUGCUGCUGGGCCCCAGGCCCCUCCCAGGCCCUCGGCACCCCCGCCCCCAACGGCUUUGUUCCCGACCUCAAACCACAGGGAGAAUAAAGUUUGUGAAAUAUUAGUUUAAUAAGACAUGCGACUACUAUUAAGGAUCCAAGGGUUCUUAUUUAUUAUUCAUGGGGCCUCGUGAUUUAGGGGCAAGUGGGUCCGCAGAGGCUCUGCUUGGCCGCCUCAAUGGCAGCCAACCCUCCCCACUGCGCCUGGCUUCCACCACCCUCUCCCCCUACAUCUGCCCACACUGCAGUGCUCACAAGGACCCUCUAUCCUCACCAGGUGUGGAGCGGGGGUGGGAGUGGGGGCAAGGUAGCCGCAGCUCCUCCCUAGUUGCCUCUCCUGGGCGCUCACUUGCACUGGCGUCUCUGAGAGAAAAGGAAGGUCAUGACUGCCCAAGUCUUGCCUGCUGAGACCUAUUGUCAGAUUUGUAGCAGGCUGGGGGUGGUGUUCCUCUUCUGUCUUUUUUUUUAGGGUCCUGGGACCUCUGGGGGGCAGGUAGGUGAGGUAGGGCCCUGGCCGAUGUGAAGAGUGAGGAGGGGACUGGGUACCUGCACUCACCUGCUGUGUGACUUUGGGCAGGUUCCUCACCUUCUCUGUCUCUGCUCCUCUCUAAGAUCAGAGUCUCCGUGCAUCAUCGGAAAGUCCCUCAGCAGGAAGGAAAUGUGUGAAGUCUUCCUAGAGUCACAAAAUCCUAGCCAUGGUGUCUUAGUGGGGACAAAUUCAUAGUGAGCUUCCUCUCCUGCCGCAAACGCAGAACCUCUGUCCUGACUUCUUUGGUCAUACACGUGAGUUGUGUGCUCUUGAACUUAGUCUUAGCAAAGUCACAUGACUUUAUAAAACAUGUGAUUGUUAAUAGCUUCCUCUUUUUUCAUUAUUGAGCAAUACUCCAAGGUGUGACCAGCAAGCUGUGAAUCUAUUCACCACCCCUAGUCAUGCAGACUCCUGGUUCAUUCACCACAGUGAUCAUUCAGGAGGCUUCUCGCCCUUUCAAGACCCAUCCUGACCUGUGACCAUGCAGACUUCUGGUGUUUGGUGCUCAUGAAUUACACCUUCUGGUGGUGUCUGCAGUUCUUCUACUUCCCUUGGGUAAAUACUUAUGAGUGAACUUGCCAAGUCAAAAAGUAAGUACUUUUUGUUUCUUAUUAUUUUAUUUUAAAUGUCUCUGCAUUACUAAGGCUCCAGCCCACAUCCCUGAAUAUCAUCUACCACCGAGUUAUCCACCAGUACUCAUGUUUAUUGUUUUUAAAAAGAUUCAUUUAUUUUAUUUUAGUGUGUGUGUGUGUGUGUGUGUGUGUGUGUGUGCAUGUGUGUGUGUGCUUGCGCAUCUGAUCCUCUGAAGCUGGAGUUAACAGGAGCACCUGGUGUACUCACGGAAUCAAACUGUUAAUAUGGAAGAGCACUAGACACACUCCUAAUUACUGACCCACCUCCAGGCCCUAUGUUUGACUUUGAAAGUAAGUUUCAGGGGCUGAGGAGAUGGCUCAGUGGUUAAGAGCACUGACUGGUCUUUUGAAGGACUCAAGUUCAGUUAGGAGCACCCAUGUGGUGGUUCAGUCACCCAAGACUCCAGUUCCAGGGGAUCUGGUGCCCUCUUCUGGCCUCUCUGAGAAUCUGCAGUCAUGUGCACCUUUCCCACACAGACACACAACUUUAAAUAAUUAAAUGUAUAUACAUAUACAUAUACAUCAUAUACACAUACAUAUACCUAUACAAAUGUGUAUAUACAUAUAUAUAUAUGGGAUAUAUAAAUUAUAUAGAUACAGUCACAUCAACAAAGUGCUCUCUGGUUUGCUCUACAUCCUUGUCAACACUUAAUACUGUUGUUCUUUUUAAUUUCAGCUAUUCUAUUGGGUACGCUGGUACAUCAUUUGACUCUGAUUGGUGAUUUGCUAACGCUGCUGGUCAUUCUUUCCUAUGAUUGGGGGCAUCUCUUUAUUUCCUCUUGUGACCUGGUAUUUCCUAUUUUGGUUGCCUUUCUGACUUUGCUCUUGGUCAUGGGACAUAUUACAUACAAAGAACAAAAGCCCAAGGCUGAGAGAUGGUAAAGAGAUUGGACUAGACUCUUGGUGGGUAAAGUGCUUGCCAUGAAAACCUCGUGAGCUGAAUUUGGAUCAAUAGAACUUACGUAAAGCUGGACACAGUAAGAUACACACAUGUCAUCAAGCAUUCAUAUGGUGACAUGGGAGGCAGGCAGCAAAAAUCCCUGCAGGCUUGCAGGCCAGCUAGCCUGGCAGACACAGCUGAGAACAAGAGACUGCCUGGAACCAGGCAAAGACUCCUGAGAUUGCCUUCUGCAUGCAUACGCCUGAACUCAUACCCACUGUAUGUACAGAAGGAACGAGAGCCCUCUGUUAGAUGUGAAAACUGAAUCCUUAAAAUUGUAGCAUGCCAGUGCUUUCCCAUUCUUUCGAUAAACAAGUUUUAACUGAAAGUCCAGUUUUUUGUUUCUGUUUACAGUCCCUGUGUUUUGUGUGCUUUGAUCUUUGCUCUGUACUGUGAGCAUGUUUCCCUAAAUUUUCUUGUAGAAGCUUGUAUGUAGUUCAACAGUUCUGAUCCAUCACAGACUGACCUUUGCAUGUGGCCAGGCAGGGGGUGAGCAUUUACUUCUUUUUCUCCAUUCGUCCAUCCGGUUGCCCAGUGUGAUUGAAAAUUACUUUGCUUUUUAUAGUUAAUUGGCAAAAAAAAAAAAAAAGAGAGAGAGAGAGAGAGAGAGAGAAGAAGACAAGAAGGAAGGAAGAGAGGGCAGAAGGGGGAGAGAAGGCGAGCGAGCGAGCGAGAGACAACAGGUGAGGGAUGAGGGCAGGGGAGCAGGCGACCGCUUGGACUAGACUCUCCUUACCCACCUUCUGUCUCUGUGUCAGGUCCCUUUCAAAACAGUUUUAAAACAGGCAGAAUAAAUCCAGUGUUUCCUUCUAAUAUUGACUGGGUUGUUGGCUCUCUGCUCUCCCAUAUCAAUCUGAGAAUCAGCUUGCCAAUGACUCUUAGAAAAUCUAUUCGAUGUUUUGAUUGGGACCCAAGUUUUCCAUAAGUCGCUCUGAGCAGGUCUCAGGAGCCUCUCUGUCCCCCGUGCCUGGCCACCCCCAAUUACGUUCUCUGCCAGUGUUCUGCUGAAGAUGCAAUCCCUCCCAGCAGCCCAGAGGGUGAGGCUGAGGAUCUGGAAGCCAAACUCAUUCCAGAGCCAGUUGUGAGGCCAUUGCCAUGCCUGUGAGGGCAGCUGUGGAGGACCUCAUGUGUCACUAAAAUAUCGAUGAGUGAGGUGUCGUGAUGCCCGAGGUUUCCCUCAAAAUAACCCAGUGAGUGCUGAUAUCAGAAGCAAAAUAGUCACGAGGUAAGGAUGGACUUUUGGUGUGGGCACCAAAGGACACGUUACACCAAUCGAGUGCUCCUGCCAUUUUAGGAUGAACUCUUAAAACAUAUGUCCUUUAUUUCUCCCUAGCCUCUCCUGGGACCCACUACACUCUGGUUAAUGACAUUCCCUUUGCCAGCUGCAGCUUCUCCAGUGCCUGCCCUGUCCCCGUGCCUCCCGGAGCAGACCCCGCUGGGCAGGUGGCUGUGUCCAGGCUGCCCUGAUGUGGGGUUGGCAGAUGGGAUCCAAAUGUUCUCAGCCCUCCAGCCCCAAGAAGCCACGAGCAGUCAAGUGUCUGUGACCAUCUCAAGGACACUGAAGUCCCAGGAAGUCCUGUCUGUGAUGAUCCCAGUCACGCCUAGUACCAAGCGCCUCAGACAUCCUCAUCUGGCUUACUCUCCUCCCCUAACACCGUGGAUGCUGUGACAACCCAGUCCUCAGGUUAUUGUUGCAGGACCACAAUGUGUCCUGAACCCAGUUCAAGUCUCGCCCCUCAUUUUUAUUCAUGUCAAACAGCAUUGAAAUGCUUAUCCCAUAAGAUAGUGAAGUCAAGGACCACCUCCCAGAGCCCCCUCUGGCAGGCAGGGGAUUGGCCUCCACACAGGCUUCCUGAACCCAGGACAACCUUCUGUCAGGCAUCAUGGUCUGUCUAUAUGCCUUUGCUAGGCUCUUCCUGGACCAUCAGACAUGGUUUAAGGACCUGCAUCCACCCAGGGGGAUGCUAAAGGGUGUUUCUGAUGCAUGUUUCAUUUAAGCAUCUAGGAACUCAUGUUAAUCUUGUUAAUCCUGUUUGAUGAUGGAUACACCCCAAUUACCAGGUGUCUAGGCCUGCAUUCUGAAGGAAGCAUGGGCCUGGGCCUUUACCUGGAGAGGUGAGGAUAGAUAUCUCAGAAAGAUGGAAUUCUGCACACUGGAACUCAAGGGAGGGGCUGAGAUAGAGAAAGGACAGUUGUGUUUGUUGUUUUAAAUACAAAAAGUAGGCACUUUUAAAGUUCCAGCCUUUAAGUGGUAAAAAGGCACUAUGUAUGACAGGGAUUAUGGACAAAGGGAGUCCCUUAGGCUGAGAUUGAAGGACAUUGGACAAUUAAAAAACGCAUAUGAACAUACACAGAGCUUUAUGCCUGCAUAGGCAGCCAUAUAUCUAUAUAGGUAUCUAUGCAAGUAUGAAAGAUGAUGUUACUGUGUGACUGACUGGCUUAUAAAUUAUUUUUCCAUGAAAUGUAAAUAUAAACAUGUUAAAUACUAUUUA